AGUGAACGCUGGCGGCGUGCUUAACACAUGCAAGUCGAACGAGAACGGGUUAUAGCUUGCUAUAAUUGUCAGCUAAGUGGCGCACGGGUGAGUAAUGUAUAGGUAAUAUGCCUCUUACUAAGGGAUAACAAAUGGAAACGUUUGCUAAUACCUUAUACUCCUUAUUAACAGAAGUUAAUAAGGGAAAGAUUUAUUGGUAAGAGAUUAGCCUGUAUUGUAUCAGUUAGUUGGUGGGGUAAUGGCUUACCAAGACUAUGACACAUAACUGGUUUGACAGGAGGAUCAGUCACACUGGAACUGAGACACGGUCCAGACUCCUACGGGAGGCAGCAGUGGGGAAUAUUGCACAAUGGACGGAAGUCUGAUGCAGCAACGCCGCGUGGAGGAUGACACAUUUCGGUGCGUAAACUCCUUUUAUAUGAGAAGAUAAUGACGGUAUUAUAUGAAUAAGCACCGGCUAACUCCGUGCCAGCAGCCGCCGUAA
rnacentral:rRNA from 1 species